rnacentral:rRNA from 1 species
CCCUUAGAUGUCCUGGGCCGCACGCGCGCUACACUGAUGCAUUCAACGAGUUUUACCUUGGCCGAGAGGCCUGGGCAAUCUUUUAAACCUGCAUCGUGAUAGGGAUAGAUUAUUGCAAUUAUUAAUCUUGAACGAGGAAUUCCUAGUAAACGCAGAUCACCAAUCUGCAUUGAUUACGUCCCUGCCCUUUGUACACACCGCCCGUCGCACCUACCGAUUGAAUGGUCCGGUGAAGCCUCGGGAUUGUGGCCAGUUCACUUUAUUGGGAGUUGGCUGCGAGAACUUGUCUAAACCUUAUCAUUUAGAGGAAGGUGAAGUCGUAACA